rnacentral:rRNA from 1 species
UGUCCCAGCCGCCGCGGAAAUACGGGGGGUGCAAGCGUUAAUCGGAAUAACUGGGCGUAAAGCGCACGCAGGCGGUUAGAUAAGUCAGAUGUGAAAGCCCCGGGCUCAACCUGGGAACUGCAUUUGAAACUGUCUGACUAGAGUCUUGUAGAGGGGGGUAGAAUUCCAGUGGAGCGGUGAAAUGCGUAGAUAUUGGAAAGAACACCGAUGGCGAAAGCACUUUCACUGGGCUAUUACUAACACUCAGAGACGAAAGCUAGGGUAGCAAAUGGGAUUAGAUACCCCAGUAGUCCUAGCUGUAAACAAUGGAUACUAGAUGUUGAACAGAUCGACCUGUGCAGUAUCAAAGCUAACGCGUUAA